rnacentral:rRNA from 1 species
GACGAACGCUGGCGGCGUGCUUAACACAUGCAAGUCGAACGGAAAGGCCCUGCUUUUGUGGGGUGCUCGAGUGGCGAACGGGUGAGUAACACGUGAGUAACCUGCCCUUGACUUUGGGAUAACUUCAGGAAACUGGGGCUAAUACCAGAUAGGAGCUCCUGCUGCAUGGUGGGGGUUGGAAAGUUUCGGCGGUUGGGGAUGGACUCGCGGCUUAUCAGCUUGUUGGUGGGGUAGUGGCUUACCAAGGCUUUGACGGGUAGCCGGCCUGAGAGGGUGACCGGCCACAUUGGGACUGAGAUACGGCCCAGACUCCUACGGGAGGCAGCAGUGGGGAAUAUUGCACAAUGGGCGGAAGCCUGAUGCAGCAACGCCGCGUGCGGGAUGACGGCCUUCGGGUUGUAAACCGCUUUCGCCUGUGGCGAAGCGUGAGUGACGGUAAUGGGUAAAGAAGCACCGGCUAACUACGUG